UUUAUACUCCCUCCCUCCCAUAUUAAGUGACAAAAUAUUACAUGUAUCUAGACGCUUUUUGUGUAUAGAUACAUCCAUAUUUGGACAAAUUUGAGUCACUUAAUAUGGGACAGAGGGAGUAUUAC
rfam:Brachypodium distachyon strain Bd21 chromosome 1, whole genome shotgun sequence.